UACGUAGGGGGCUAGCGUUGUCCGGAAUCACUGGGCGUAAAGAGCGUGUAGGCGGCCCGGUAAGUCCGCUGUGAAAGUCGGGGGCUCAACCCUCGAAAGCCGGUGGAUACUGUCGGGCUAGAGUACGGAAGAGGCGAGUGGAAUUCCUGGUGUAGCGGUGAAAUGCGCAGAUAUCAGGAGGAACACCCAUUGCGAAGGCAGCUCGCUGGGACGUUACUGACACUGAGGCGCGACAGCGUGGGGAGCAAACAGG
rnacentral:rRNA from 1 species